AUGCGUUUUGUGCGGCGAAUCCAGGAGUCUGAGGUGAAGGAGGCUUUAAAAAGCAUGAAAGGAGGCAAGGUGAUGGGCCCUGAUUGUAUCCCCAUUGAGGUGUGGAAAGGUCUCGGGGACAUAGCGAUAGUAUGGCUAACCAAGCUUUUCAACCUCAUUUUUCGAGCAAACAAGAUGCCAGAAGAGUGGAGACAGAGUAUAUUAGUACCAAUCUUCAAGAACAAGGGGGAUGUUCAUAGUUGUACUAAUUACCAUGGAAUUAAGCUGAUGAGCCAUACAAUGAAGCUAUGGGAGAGAGUCAUUGAGCACCGCUUAAGAAGAAUGACAUGCGUGACCAAAAAUCAGUUUGGUUUCAUGCCUGGGAGGUCGACCAUGGAAGCCAUUUUCUUGGUACGACAACUUAUGGAGAGAUAUAGGGAGCAAAAGAAGGACUUGCAUAUGGUGUUCAUUGACUUGGAGAAGGCCUAUGAUAAGAUACCGCGGAAUGUCAUAUGGUGGGCCUUGGAGAAACACAAAGUCCCAGCAAAGUACAUUACCCUCGUCAAGGACAUGUACGAUAAUGUUGUGACAAGUGUUCGAACAAGUGAUGUCGACACCGAUGACUUCCCGAUUAAGAUAGGACUGCAUUAG
rnacentral:rRNA from 1 species